GGGCCUACGGGAGGCAGCAGUGGGGAAUAUUGCGCAAUGGGCGAAAGCCUGACGCAGCGACGCCGCGUGAGGGAUGAAGGCCUUCGGGUCGUAAACCUCUGUCAAGAGGGAAGAAGUGGGGUAUGGCUAAUAUCCAUGCUC
rnacentral:rRNA from 1 species